rnacentral:rRNA from 1 species
UCCUACGGGAGGCAGCAGUGAGGAAUUUUGCGCAAUGGGGGAAACCCUGACGCAGCAACGCCGCGUGGAUGAUGAAGGCCUUCGGGUCGUAAAAUCCUGUCAAGUGGGAAGAAACUUCCGCCGUGAAUAGCGGUCGGGAGGUGACUGUACCACUGGAGGAAGCCCCGGCUAACUCCGUGCCAGCAGCCGCGGUAAUACGGAGGGGGCAAGCGUUGUUCGGAAUCAUUGGGCGUAAAGGGCGCGUAGGCGGCCUUGUAAGUCGGUUGUGAAAUCCCUUGGCUUAACCAAGGAACUGCAACCGAAACUACAGGGCUAGAGUCCGGGAGAGGAUAGUGGAAUUCCCAGUGUAGCGGUGAAAUGCGUAGAUAUUGGGAGGAACACCAGUGGCGAAGGCGGCUACCUGGACCGGUACUGACGCUGAGGCGCGAAAGCUAGGGGAGCAAACAGGAUUAGAUACCCUGGUAGUCCUAGCUGUAAACGAUGAGAACUUGGUGCAGCGGGUAUUGACCCCUGCUGUGCCGUAGCUAACGCGUUAAGUUCUCCGCCUGGGGAGUACGGUCGCAAGGCUGAAACUCAAAUGAAUU